rnacentral:lncRNA from 10 species
CUCCCAAGAUGUCAGUUUAAAAUACAUCUCCAGGCCGGGCGCGGUGGCUUAGGUCUGUAAUCCCAACACUCUGAGGCCAAGACAGGAGGAUUGCUUGAGCCCAGAAGUUCAAGAUCAACCUGUGCAACAUAGCAAGACCCCGUCUCUUAAAAACAAUUUUAAUUUAAUUUAAAAAAUAAAUAAAAUAAAUCUCCAGGGUGGCCCCACAUUGUUCUGGCAUUUCUGCUCAGAGGUCUGUGCUGAUGACGGCAAAACAUGAUGAUGACGGCCAUGGUGUCAAAUUCCACUGGACAUGAAUCCAGCUGCACGGUCCCCACACUAUGAGCCCUUGCCUGGGCUUCAGCCUUCACAUCCGUUCCUGGGUAGAGCUGACGCCAGAGGAGAGAGAGAUCACAUACUGAGGACAGUCCUGGUCUCUUGUAGUCCUGUCUGGGCCUUGCAGUGAACACCCUGCACACCAACUGGCUUAUUCGUCACCAAAGGAAUCCCUAUGGGAGGGCACUCUGGUUGCUACCGUGUUGUUUCCCUUCCUGGCCACCCUGAUCACGACUCCGGCUGUCUGCUGUCUCGAAAGCUUCACAGCGCACCCUUGUAUGGCCACCAGUCUCUGACGGGAGGGUUCUUUCUGGUCUGAAAUCCUGCUGAAUGAUGCUGCUUGUGCAUAUUUCUUUAUAGACUCUGUAAGAUAAAGUGUCAGAGUGUCAGGUGUGGCAUUCCUCAAGCAAAAGGCAUUGUGAUGGACACUGUCA